rnacentral:rRNA from 1 species
UACGUAGGGGGGCAAGCGUUGUCCGGAUUUAUUGGGCGUAAAGCGCGUGUAGGCGGCUUUGCAAGUCGGGUGUGAAAGCCCUCAGCUCAACUGAGGAAGUGCACCCGAAACUGGCGAGCUUGAGUACGAAAGAGGAUCGCGGAAUUCCCGGUGUAGAGGUGAAAUUCGUAGAUAUCGGGAGGAACACCGGGUGGCGAAGGCGGCGAUCUGGGUCGAUACUGACGCUGAGGUGCGAAAGCGUGGGGAGCAAACAGG